rnacentral:rRNA from 1 species
CAACCUGCCGCUUACUCGGGGAUAGCCUUUCGAAAGAAAGAUUAAUACCCGAUGGUAUAAAGAGUUCGCAUGUUCUCUUUAUUAAAGAAUUUCGGUAAGCGAUGGGGAUGCGUUCCAUUAGAUAGUUGGCGGGGUAACGGCCCACCAAGUCUACGAUGGAUAGGGGUUCUGAGAGGAAGGUCCCCCACAUUGGAACUGAGACACGGUCCAAACUCCUACGGGAGGCAGCAGUGAGGAAUAUUGGUCAAUGGACGAGAGUCUGAACCAGCCAAGUAGCGUGAAGGAUGACUGCCCUAUGGGUUGUAAACUUCUUUUAUAAGGGAAUAAAGUGAGGGACGUGUCCCUUUUUGUAUGUACCUUAUGAAUAAGGAUCGGCUAGCUCCGUGCCAGCAGCCGCGGUAAUACGGAGGAUCCAAGCGUUAUCCGGAUUUAUUGGGUUUAAAGGGAGCGUAGGUUGACAUAUAAGUCAGCUGUGAAAGUUUACGGCUCAACCGUGAAAUUGCAGUUGAUACUGUAUGUCUUGAGUGUACAAGAGGUGGGCGGAAUUCGUGGUGUAGCGGUGAAAUGCUUAGAUAUCACGAAGAACUCCGAUUG